UUAUGAAUAAGGAUCGGCUAACUCCGUGCCAGCAGCCGCGGUAAUACGGAGGAUCCGAGCGUUAUCCGGAUUUAUUGGGUUUAAAGGGAGCGUAGGCGGAUGCUUAAGUCAGUUGUGAAAGUUUGCGGCUCAACCGUAAAAUUGCAGUUGAUACUGGGUGUCUUGAGUACAGUAGAGGCAGGCGGAAUUCGUGGUGUAGCGGUGAAAUGCUUAGAUAUCACGAAGAACUCCGAUUGCGAAGGCAGCUUGCUGGACUGUAACUGACGCUGAUGCUCGAAAGUGUGGGUAUCAAACAGGAUUAGAUACCCUGGUAGUCCACACAGUAAACGAUGAAUACUCGCUGUUUGCGAUAUACAGUAAGCGGCCAAGCGAAAGCAUUAAGUAUUCCACCUGGGGAGUACGCCGGCAACGGUGAAACUCAAAGGAAUUGACGGGGGCCCGCACAAGCGGAGGAACAUGUGGUUUAAUUCGAUGAUACGCGAGGAACCUUACCCGGGCUUAAAUUGCAACCGAAUAUGGCGGAAACGCUAUAGCUAGCAAUAGCGGUUGUGAAGGUGCUGCAUGGUUGUCGUCAGCUCGUGCCGUGAGGUGUCGGCUUAAGUGCCAUAACGAGCGCAACCCUUGCCGAUAGUUACUAACAGGUUAUGCUGAGGACUCUGUCGGGACUGCCAUCGUAAGAUGUGAGGAAGGUGGGGAUGACGUCAAAUCAGCACGGCCCUUACGUCCGGGGCUACACACGUGUUACAAUGGGGGGUACAGAAGGCAGCUACCUGGUGACAGGAUGCUAAUCCCAAAAGCCUCUCUCAGUUCGGAUCGAAGUCUGCAACCCGACUUCGUGAAGCUGGAUUCGCUAGUAAUCGCGCAUCAGCCAUGGCGCGGUGAAUACGUUCCCGGGCCUUGUACACACCGCCCGUCAAGCCAUGGGAGCCGGGGGUACCUGAAGUGCGUAACCGCAAGGAGCGCCCUAGGGUAAAACUGGUGACUGGGGCUAAGUCGUAACAAGGUAGCCGUACCGGAAGGUGCGGCUG
rnacentral:rRNA from 1 species